ensembl:lincRNA
UGGAAGCUGAUGCCCCCGGGGGGAUAUUUUCUCUCUGACACUGAUUGGAGAUAUGGGGACAUUAUGAUAACAAGAGUCUUGUUGUUUAAAACUUCCCAGCCGGGAGCGGCAGAACAUGCCUGUAGACCUGCACUCCGGGCAGCUGAGGCCGGAGGAUCACAAGCUUGUGCCCAUCCUGGCUAACACGGUGACUCAGCCCUGGCACAGGCUCUGCAGCAAGUUCCAUGCACUGCUCAACCCGCUCUUGGGCCUUCCUCACUCUUCUCCCAGCCACCACCACCACUCGCCUGGGUCUGCUUGGAUCAGAGCCUCAGGGAUGCAGGGAGGACCGGCUCAGUUUAGGGUGAAGCAGGCUACAGGGCUCUGUUGGGAUGCUGGCCGCACCUUGGGGACCUCCUCGCAGAUAGAGAAACGGUACAAAGUUCCUGACCAUCCAUCAAAGUGCCUGCCAAGCUGGAAGACCAGCAGCCUGGGACAGUGGCGGCGGGGUUUAGAGGCUACAUCCAGGGCAUCCUGUACCUGAGCCAAGAUGUGCCCAAGGAGCUACUGGGAUUCCCGAGACUCCAACACUUCCCAGUGGGCUCCAAGGCCAGCAGCUGGGGUAUCCUGGGGGAGUUCCUGCCUGGUGAGAGUAGCAGCUCACAGAUGCACCAUCGGCCUGUCAUCGCUUCUUCAGGGACCCCUACAUUCGCGGCCCCUCCCCAGAGCCUCUGUCCGAUGUCGUGUUGAACGGUGUGCCCCAGGCCUCUGUGGACGCAGCGCCAGCCCAGCGAAAGGCUGGCUGUAACCCCGCUCCCUACCACCCAGGCCCCAAUGAAUCCAGGAGCCUCGCGCCACCCAUGAGGAGAGCCAUGAGCCUCUGUCCUAUGAGCGCCACUCAAGGAGCCAAGGCUGGGUCGUCCUUUGGCCUGGACCCAGGACUCUACCGUGCCUGGUCCUGCCAAGUCUCUGAGCUGGGCAUGCCUGGCAGCUGGGGUGGUCUGAGCGCCCAGGGGCCAAGGCAGGGCAAGGAGAUGAGGAAUAAAGGGAAAGACAGUUUAGAGGUAGAUGGGAGACACAGGUACAGAGAGGGGCAGGGGCAGCAAGGUUGAGGCACAGUAGCCGGUGAAGUUUGGCAGCCUGGCGAAAGGGCAAAUGCCCACAGCACAGCGGAAUCCUGAUAUGGGGGAUAAAGACUCGGGAGGGGGACUGCAGACCUAAGGCAGCCCACACACAGGUUAUUAAAAAAGCCCUCUUUUUACUGGUCAGUAACAGUACCAGCGGAUUGUUACAAAACUGGGCCUGCAGAACGUGAGGCAAGUGGUCCGUUCAGUCAGGUGCCAGCACCGGGGCAGUAAAGCACAGAGCCUGGGGCCGGGCUACCUUCACCCUCAUGAGGGCGGCGGGGCUGGCACAGAUGGUGACGUGGAGGGCAGCGGCCCCUAGUGCCCUACUCCUUGGCGAUGGCAGCCUGUGAUGGUCAGGUCCUUCAGGGGCUUGUCCCGGUUGUCUGCCUUGGUGCUGUCCGCCUUCCGCACCACCUCCUGGGAAGGGAAGGCACGUUGGAUGAGGAGGGAG